rnacentral:rRNA from 1 species
UACGUAGGGGGCUAGCGUUGUCCGGAUUUAUUGGGCGUAAAGAGCGUGUAGGCGGCCAGGUAGGUCUGCUGUGAAAACUCGAGGCUCAACCUCGAGACGUCGGCGGAAACCAUCUGGCUAGAGUCCGGAAGAGGAGAGUGGAAUUCCUGGUGUAGCGGUGAAAUGCGUAGAUAUUGGGAGGAACACCAGUGGCGAAGGCGGCUCGCUGGACCGGUUCUGACGCUGAGGCGCGAAAGCGUGGGGAGCAAACGGG